CCUUCGAUAGCUCAGUUGGAAGAGCGUGGGACUGUAAUUUGCAACCUAGCCUCAGCGCUAUCCCGAGGUCGCUGGUUCGAACCCGGCUCGAAGGA